AACUAGGAAACAGGAUCAUAGAGGAAGAGAGGAAAAAAUAAGACAAAAUCAGAGAGGGAGACAAACCAUAAGAGACUCUUAAUCAUAGGAAACAAACUCAGUGUUGCUGGAGGGGAGGGUGGGAGGACAAGGUACUGGGUGAGGGGCAUUAAGCCUUAGGGCACAUGAUGUAAUGAGCAUUGGGUGUUAUAUAAGACUGAUGAAAUAUUGACCUCUACCUCUGAAACCAAUAAUAUGUUUAGUUUAAAUAAAAAUAAAGCCUAAUGUUGUGUUGAAAUGCUCCAUGUUUUCAUUGAUUUCACCUUUAAUGUCAUGUAAUUUUUAACAUAAUGGUCAUUUGGAAGUCUUUUUCUGUUAACUCCAUUUACUGAAUUAUCUCUGGGUCUGCUUCUGUCUGCUUUCUCUCUUGACUAUUGGUCACUUUUUUUUUCCGAUCUCCUAAUUUUACAUGCCAGACAAGGUGUUUUGAUACAUUGUAGAAGGGCUGGAUUAUGUUAUCUUCAAAGAAUGUUUAGUUUUUUUCUGGAAGAAUUUGUAUUACUAGCAGAUUAUCUUUAUUUUAAUCUUUGUUAGAGUGUUCUAUUCCAAUUUUGUCCUUAGUCCUAGGAUAUAGCCCUUGCUCCUAUGCAUGGUCUUUACUCACAGGACAUGGUUUUUCUGGGGUUUCAAUUCAAUGUUGAGGAUUUUCACCAAGGUCUCUAUAUUCUGGGUUGGAACUUCAGUGUCUGCCAGGACUCUUUUCUACUCUGUUUACCAUACUCUUGCCUUUACAUAAACAUCUCAGGAUAUGGUCAAGAACCUGAUGGGAACUUCUACAUAGUUUAGGGGCUACUUUUCUGUGGUUCAUUCUUUUUCAGUACUCUGCCUCCAAAUUUCAGUUAUAAUAGCAGAUUCAAAUUCUGAUCUUUAUUUUUUCUGGCCAGUAAGAUUGUUGGGUUCCACUUCUCAGAACAAGGGUUUGGAAAAAAUGCCUCUAGAGAGAAAAGUGGGAGUGAAUGUGGAGUUUAUCCCAUAUAUGCCUUCUCACAAGCAUCGCCGUCCUGCGCUAUUCACCAUCUAUUGCCUGAAAUCAAUUAUUUUAUGUAGAUGAUUUGGUUUUAUAGAGGGUAGGUUAGUCCAUUACCAGGUUUUUGAUAACGGAUGGAAUUGGACACCUUCAUUCAUUUUUAUAAAUGGGUAGCAAUACAAAUGUCUUUUCAUGACUUGAUAGCUCAUUUCUUUCUAGUGCUAAAUAAUCCAUUGUCUGGAUGCACCACAGUUUAUUUGCCAUUCCACUACUAAAGGGUAUCUUGGUUUCUUUCAGGUUUUGGCACUUAUGAAUAGAUCUGCUAAUGACAUCCACAUGCAAGUUUUUCUGUGGACAUAGGUUUCAAAUCCUUUAUUCUGACCAAGGACUGUGACUGCUGGAUCCUACAUGAAGAUGUUAGGAAAGCCAGCUAUGUCUCCUGCUCUUCAAAGUAGUGUGGCUCAUGAAGAAGAGGUUCUGUAGUGCCCUGCAGUGUGUGUCCUUUGUUCACCAGAAGCUGCUGCUUAAUUAAGAGGUUCUCCAGGCCUGGAGUGCUUGGUGUGAGCGUCUGGUACUCUUUCCUCUCCACAUUCAUGGCAUUCCUUCCUAUAGCUCCUGACCUUGUCUCUGCCUUGCCUACUUGUGUUGUGGGGUAGGGAAGGAUUUUUCCUCCUUUACAUUUAGCUAUGAAGAGUCCUGUCCUGCCAGUCUUUGGGUGGUUUUCUGGGUUAUUUACACUGAUGUGGGUGUUAUAUCUAGUUGUAUCCAUGGCAUGAGGUGAUCACGGGAGCCUCCUACUCCACCAUCUUCCCUGGAAGUCUACAGUGCUUAAUUUUCUCAUAUGGUAAAUCAGUCUUGCAUUUCUGGGAUGAAUUUUAUUUGGUCACUGUGCAUAAUCCUCUUAGUAUGUUACAGGAUUCAGUUUGCUAGUAUUUUGUUUUUGUGUCUUAAUUCUUAAUAGAUUCAGAUCUUGGUUAAAAAAAUAUUUAUUUGGCCCCUGGAAUCCAAACAGUUGUCUUUCUUGAGAUAAUUUCUCUGGUACUUCUCUAUCCCCAACGACUCCAAUGUAAUCCCAUAACACAGCAGGGAGCAUUUAUCCCAUUAUGUUUGUCACUCUUUCUGCUUACUGAGAAUAGACUGUAUUUCCACCGUAUGUUAGUAUCCAGCACAAUCCUUGACUAGUAUAGCUUGAGACUUCUGGGAAACAUAACCAACAGAUUUUUUUAAAAGAACAUGAACAAACAUGAAAAAGAUAUUAUAUAACAAAGACUGAUUAUAAGAGAGUGGCUGCGACAUAGAAGAAUAGUGUCAGGGAGGUUAAAAUAUCGAGUUAAGAUAUGAAUCAAUAUUGAUAACAAGACGUAACUUUUACUUCGCUAUACUCAAAAUGAAAAUAUAUCACAGAAUGUUUAAAUCUGUUCUUCUGGGAUUAUAUUACUAACAAUCAUCCUGAUGGAUGACAAAGAGCAGAAUCUCUCAGUUCUUAAGUUGCUUCUGUCUUUCUAUCAAAUAGUUUUCUUCUCUCUAGAAAGGGGAGAAUAAAUACUGGUAAGAGAAGACAGAAGUCAAAAGGCUCUGAAUGAGUUAUUUCUAGCUCCAGACAUAUUACAUCUCAAGUAAGGAAAGAAUUUACAUAUAAGAUCAGAAAACCACUGGCAAAAAAAUUUUUUUUAAGAAUUCAAGGAAGUGACUCUCUGCUCUCUCUGCUACUUGCCUAACUUGUCAUUUAAGACUGCAUCAUAAUUUAAGGAUCAAUUCCUUCAAGAAAACAUUCCCCGAGACUUCCAGGCUGGAUUUGAUCCUGUUCUCUGAACAGAGAAGUUUGUGCAUAUCAUUAUCACUCAGUCUAUCUAACUCUUAUUGAAAUGCACAUCAUGUUAUAGAACUUGGUUUCUAUGUUGUAGAGAAAGCGGUUGCCAAAAGAUCUUUUUCAUUUGAACUAACAACAUUAUGGAAAGAAAGAAACCUAUUCAAUAUGAAGAAGGGUUUGAUGGGCUAGGUUCUGUUUGGCCUUUUACCAUCUCUCAUUAGAGCUCCCUAAGUGGUGAGUCACUAAGGGUGGUCUGCAAAUGGCCAACAUCAGAACUGUCUGAAGUAACUUACAAAAAAUGUAGAUUCAGAAGCUGACAACAAAGACUAGCUCAGAAUCAGAAGCUGGGGUUGCCAUAAACUUCCCAGGUAAUUCUCCUGUGUAUUAAAACUUUAAAAUCAAACAUUCUACAAGACAAUGGGGCCCAUGAUCUUCAAAAAUGCCAAGCCUGUGCAUGAUGAAGGCUGAGUGGCUAUUCCAAAUUGAAAGAGAAUAAAGAGAUAUGGUAUUUAAAUGUGAUUUUUGCUUUAAAGGACAUUAUUGUUACAUUAUUGUAAUACGAUAUAAAAUAGUAUUGUAUCAAAGUUGAAUUUCCUGAUUUUAAUGUAAGACAGUGUUCUUAUUCUUGGAAAAUAUAUGUUGAAGUUGCUGAGGAAUAAGGACAUAUGAUGUCUGCAAAAAAAAAAUGGAUUGGGGAAAUAUUAGAUAGGCAGAUAGAGUUCUUCAUACUAUUCCUGAAAUUAUUUCAAAACUAGAAGUUAAACUUUUGUAGGCUUUCUCUUUUUAAGUUUUAGGACCAUGCCAACUUCAACCACUGUUAGGAAACUAGGAAUUACUGAAAGGUUUUGGGUAGUUGUUUUACCUAAUCUGAUUGGUGUUUUCGAUCACUUUUGUGGUAGUAUGAAAGGUGAAAUUAGGAUGACAAUAUUGGUGGCAAGGAAGGCAAUUAGAAAUCUCCCUGUAAAUAUAUAAGAAUCUGAAAAGGAUGAUGACAGUUAAAAUGGAGAUAAAGAGAUUAUGAGGUAAAAUCCACUGGAUUCAGUGGUUGACUGGAUCUCAGGGAUGGAAAUGGAAGGAGAAAAAUAUGUUAACUCAUGUUUAUAGCUUGAAAUGGAUGGUUAUGUAGAUAGUACUGAUACCAAGGUUGUAGAGAGAAUACAGGAGGAACAGCAUUUAGUGUAGAAUUAGGUGAAAUUGAAUUUGGAUAUGUGGGACAUCUCUGUGGAAAUGUUUAGGAGAUAAUUACAUAUAAGUCUAAAGCUUUGUCAAAAGGUCAACUGUAUAAUACAGAUAUUUCCAUCUGAAUAUGCAUACACAUAAAUAUAGAGCACAACAAUACUUCAUACUUAAGAUAAACAGUUCAUGAAAGGCUGAAUCUAAGAUGACUUAACAGGAAUAAAUUUAAGGCCCAAGACAUUGAACCAAAAUACCAAUUGGAGAAGUAGAAGAUGGAGACACCCUGUAGCAGCACAAUGAAAACAAAACUUUAUGGGUUUGAGUAUACAUAAACCCAAUUUAUCAAUAUUUUAGGAAAGUUUCCAAGAGAACAAAUGCAACCUUAGGCUGCAUUAAUGGAAAUCUAGUAUCAAGAAAGAAACAAAUGAGAGUGAUGAUUUAUUGUACGCUCACUAGCUGACAUCCGUAAUACUGUGUUUGGUUUCACUCAAGCUUGAACAGUGACAGAAAUGAAUUGGGUGGUAAAGGACUUGACUCAUCCUGUACUGUGGGUGAUUGAAAGAAACGGAAGGAAAGUUUCAGGGAAUACACGAUAGCUUUAAAAAAAUACUUCAGAUAUAUCAUGUGGAAGGGGCAUUACAUUUGUUCUCAUUUUUUUCAAGGAGAAUCAGGGAAAAGGAGUCUGUCAAAAAUGUUUACUUUUCAGGUUAUUUCAUUUUUUGUUUUGUGUAAUUAAAGAAGUGGAUGAAAUUUACAGACACAAAUGUUUUUAACUCAACAUAAAAAGAACAUUUUUAAUGCUAAAGCUCUGUCAAUGGAAUGAACUGUCUGGCAAUUAAACUACUUAAAAAAAAAAAAAAGUAAACUACUUGUCACCAAGCGUAGUCAAUCUAAGGUUGAAUGAGGCUGGAUCCUAUAAUAUAGGUGAGGCUAGAUGACUCAUCAAAGUUUCUCUCUUCUUUAGAAUUCAUGAGAUGAAAAUGAAGAGAUGAGACAAUGAGAUGGGUACUCUUUUUUUUUUUUUUUUUUUUUUACUAGAUAAAAUGACAAGAAAGCAAUUUGAUAUAUAAAUAAUUUCUACUGGCUUCCUAUAUGAAUUUCUAGAGCUAGAGAGAAAAAUAAAAAUUUGAGAUUCACAAUUUCUGGGAAGGUGAAUAUGCUCCUUGGCUAUCAGUUUGAAGAUAAUCUAGUUUCUUACAUGAAGAUCUUGAUCAGAUACAUAAGGUUAAGUAACUCACAUUUAGGUGACUUGUGAGCGCUCAUUACUGUCUAUAUUCCUAGUUUACUCACCCAAACCUUGAUUAGGGAAUGGUCUUCUGAAAUAGUCAAAUAUACAAUCAUCUGAUAUAUUUGGCUUUAUAUCUAGAAAAGAUGAUAAAAGAUCAUUAGUAGCAUGAAAAUAAUUUGAGGCUUUUAUACUUCCUAUUUUUUAUAUUUUGUAAACAAAAAUGGCUAGAAGAUAGCAUGUAAAUAGUUUAGCUCAAAUGAAUUAAAAACAACAGUCCUCAAAUAUGAAUUUGUGUUGCAUUUUUGCUAUUUAUUGCAAAAAUCGAAAAAAUGUUCAUACCCUCUGGAACAGCAUUUCCUUUCUAGGAAUCUAUCAUAAAUAAGAAUAUAUACAGAGUUAUAAGGUGUUCAUUAUUGUUUCUAACAGAAAAAAAUAAGCAAAAUCCAAGUUUAAUAAUGGAGGUAGUUAAAUUUAAGGUUCACUAAUACAAUGGAAUACUUUGCCACCAUUUAUUAACAUGUAAAGAAAUUUAUAAUACACUGUAAUUUUAAAUGAAAACAUAGGUUGCAAAAUAACAUGAAUAUUCUGUGAUUAACAAGGAGUUAUAUAUGCUCAGAUGUAGAAAAGGUCUAAAAUAAAUAUUCUAAAAUGUGCUUUUCAGUUUUAAUAACAGAAGAAUAUGUUAAAGUUAUAUAUAAAAAGUGAUUUUCUUGGAUGAUCACUAUGAGAAAGAGUAGUUAAAUUUCAAGUCAAUUAACCAUAUUAGUUAUGGUUAGAAUUUUCCCCUUUCUUUGGUGUGGUUCUUUUUUUUUCUCUUUUAAAGAUUUUAUUUAUUUAUU